GUUUCAAUUAAGCAAUGGAUGGAGUAUCCUGUAUAGGAAGGAAAGGAAGUAACACAGAGGCCAGGUUCUACCAGCAUGCCGAAUCCUACUCCAGUAACAUCUCUCCCCAUCAUUGGUAUUAAUGCUUGUCUGUCACCAGCAUUGUGUGGUAUUGUAUGGAUCCAUGAGAAACCUUUUAGUGCUUUGGCUGAUCUGAAGUCUGUCUGAGUAGAGAUCACAUUAAGUGUUCAUUCCGGUCCACUGUAGUUGUUAUUAUGCCAGGAGUGGCCCAGCACAGCCUUAUUGUAAAUAGUCAAACUGUUUGCUAACAAUUCGACUCCUUAUCUGGGAUUCACUGUGGACUGCUCCUUUCCCCUUACAAAUUGGUUCUGGGAGCAAGAAGCACUUCACAGGUUCUGCAGUGCAGGUACAGCCUACUGGCUGCAGUAUCAGCUAAACAUUCAC